rnacentral:rRNA from 1 species
UCCUACGGGAGGCAGCAGUGGGGAAUAUUGCACAAUGGGCGGAAGCCUGAUGCAGCAACGCCGCGUGAGGGACGACGGCCUUCGGGUUGUAAACCUCUUUUAGCAGGGAAGAAGCGAAAGUGACGGUACCUGCAGAAAAAGCGCCGGCUAACUACGUGCCAGCAGCCGCGGUAAUACGUAGGGCGCAAGCGUUAUCCGGAAUUAUUGGGCGUAAAGAGCUCGUAGGCGGUUUGUCGCGUCUGCUGUGAAAACCCGAGGCUCAACCUCGGGCCUGCAGUGGGUACGGGCAGACUAGAGUGCGGUAGGGGAGAUUGGAAUUCCUGGUGUAGCGGUGGAAUGCGCAGAUAUCAGGAGGAACACCGAUGGCGAAGGCAGAUCUCUGGGCCGUAACUGACGCUGAGGAGCGAAAGGGUGGGGAGCAAACAGGAUUAGAUACCCUGGUAGUCC